rnacentral:rRNA from 1 species
GAUGAACGCUGGCGGCGUGCCUAAUACAUGCAAGUCGAGCGAAAAGACGAGGAGCUUGCUCCUCUGACGUUAGCGGCGGACGGGUGAGUAACACGUGGAUAACCUACUUCUAAGACUGGGAUAACUUCGGGAAACCGGAGCUACUACCGGAUAAUAUAUUGAACCGCAUGGUUCAAUAGUGAAAGACGGUUUUGCUGUUACUUAUAGAUGGAUCCGCGCCGCAUUAGCUAGUUGGUAAGGUAACGGCGUACCAAGGCAACGAUGCGUAGCCGACCUGAGAGGGUGAUCAGCCACACUGGAACUGAGACACGGUCCAGACUCCUACGGGAGGCAGCAGUAGGGAAUCUUCCGCAAUGGGCGAAAGCCUGACGGAGCAACGCCGCGUGAGUGAUGAAGGUCUUCGGAUCGUAAAACCCUGUUAUUAGGGAAGAACAAAUGUGUAAGUAACUAUGCACGUCUUGACGGUACCUAAUCAGAAAGCCACGGCUAACUACGUG